AUUGAACGCUGGCGGCAGGCCUAACACAUGCAAGUCGAGCGGAUGAAGGGAGCUUGCUCCUGGAUUCAGCGGCGGACGGGUGAGUAAUGCCUAGGAAUCUGCCUGGUAGUGGGGGAUAACGUCCGGAAACGGGCGCUAAUACCGCAUCCGUCCUGAGGGAGAAAGUGGGGGAUCUUCGGACCUCACGCUAUCAGAUGAGCCUAGGUCGGAUUAGCUAGUUGGUGGGGUAAAGGCCUACCAAGGCGACGAUCCGUAACUGGUCUGAGAGGAUGAUCAGUCACACUGGAACUGAGACACGGUCCCGACUCCUACGGGAGGCAGCAGUGGGGAAUAUUGGACAAUGGGCGAAAGCCUGAUCCAGCCAUGCCGCGUGUGUGAAGAAGGUCUUCGGAUUGUAAAGCACUUUAAGUUGGGAGGAAGGGCAGUAAGUUAAUACCUUGCUGUUUUGACGGUACCAACAGAAUAAGCACCGGCUAACUUCGUG
rnacentral:rRNA from 1 species